CAGUCGCCGCGGUAAUACGUAGGGCGCAAGCGUUGUCCGGAAUCAUUGGGCGUAAAGAGCUCGUAGGCGGUUUGUCACGUCUGCUGUGAAAACUCGGGGCUUAACCCCGAGCUUGCAGUGGAUACGGGCAGACUAGAGGUAGGUAGGGGAGAAUGGAAUUCCCGGUGUAGCGGUGAAAUGCGCAGAUAUCGGGAGGAACACCGGUGGCGAAGGCGGUUCUCUGGGCCUUACCUGACGCUGAGGAGCGAAAGCGUGGGGAGCGAACAGGAUUAGAUACCCCCGUAGUCCCUGUCUCUUAUAA
rnacentral:rRNA from 1 species